CUUUCAGGGAGACCUACCCUACUGAUAACUGCGAGAAGCGCAAGCUUCAUAUUUGAUAGAGCGGUAUCAGAGGUCAACCUAGGUCGGUCGAGUCUUUCGAGCAAGGGCUUCUAAACUAGUCUGGGUUUUUCCUAGACAAAGAUGUUUGGGUCAAGAGCAGGAUGUGGGCUAUUAGCUCAGGUGGUUAGAGCGCACCCCUGAUAAGGGUGAGGUCCCUGGUUCAAGUCCAGGAUGGCCCACCUAGCUUUUUCAUGAGAGUGAAGAAGUGAUGUGGGGGUUUAGCUCAGUUGGUAGAGCGCCUGCUUUGCAAGCAGGAUGUCAGCGGUUCGAGUCCGCUAACCUCCACCAAAAGACUGCUUAAAAUUCAAAAAAUCAGUUCAGCAUCUUAAGUUUUCGAUUUUCGUAUCGGAAGGUUAGGAAUGCUGAGUUGAAAGACUCAGCAAGAACCUUGAAAACUGCAUAGAGAUGAGAGUGUAGGUAUCACAGACACCAUCUUCAUCAUCACUUGAUUGAGUCAAGUGGGAGAAAUGGAAGUCAGAAAGAAGUAGU
rnacentral:tRNA from 1 species